rnacentral:piRNA from 1 species
UGAGAGUGGACCUUUUAGGACUAUGC